rnacentral:misc_RNA from 1 species
GUAAGAAACGAAUGAAAAUUGAAGAGUGCUGACAUGUUUUGAUCCUCAAACUGAUAGCUUUUCUUCCUUCAAAUCUUAAUACAAUGGACAGGCCGAGACAGUUGAUCAACGAGCCAAGAUGAGUGAGUGAGAUUGAGUGCGACGCAGCGACAGUGAGGACGACGAAGAGAGAUGAGAGAAAAGAGAAAAGGGAGGACCGAGGGUCCGAGAGGGAAGCAGACAGCAGUGAAUGUGAUGGAGGGCUACUCCCAAUUGGGUGAAGGCGAGGCCGUGAGAGAGGGUAGAGAGAGCAGAGAGGAAGGAUAAUGCUAGAUCACGAGAGCCUUCGACUGUGCGAGAAGAGCUAAAGAGGUGACCAAAGUGGAGUCGAAAAGAGAGGAGAUUUUACGUUUUGCUCUUCGGCUGUGGGUGGGUGUAUUGUAA